GUUAACAUUUUUUUUCUUCCUUCGCGAUCGCAAAUUUGUCGUGCAGAUCCCCUUCUGCGUGUUUUACGUGUUUCGAGGAACCAGAGAAUCCUGGGAUUCCGGUUCACCCCGGAAAGUUGCCGCAACUUGUUCUUCGAACACGAGUCAAUCAUCUUCCUGCACCGUGGUUCCUGCAGAAGGGCAUCCGCGAGAAAACGGUUGCCGUCGAAGUGCUUUGCAGGACAAACUUGACUCCGGAUGUGUCAGAACAACUCGCAAAAAGGCCAGCCAAGCCAUUGCACAUCUACAUUGCCGCGGUCACAGCUGCCGAACUCUGCCAGUUGGAUUUGGUCGGCGGGAGCUUCUGAGCUGAGUUAGGAAUAAUUGUUCCUGAAGCCAUCAAGUUUCACCUUUUGCAGCUGGACCAACUUGACUGCUGACGUACUAGUACAUGACAUUGAAAACGAUAACGUUUUCUUGUGUAGUAGGAUUGAAUCAACGGCGAAUCAGAUCUUAUGGGAGUUGAAUGGGGUUGGAAGAGGUUCGUGAGCAGUAAGAUAAACCUGUUCUUCAGCGAUGACAGGAGGGAAAAGCUGACCAUUUGGACAUAUGUGUAUGCGAACGAGUAGCAGCAGUCGAUUAGUAGUGCCAGCUGGGACUGGAAAGUGACCGAGACUACCGAGGAGCCGAUAUAAGUACGCGAAUCAGCACAGAUGCGACGCGAAGUGCGGAAUCAAGAUGUAACCUUUCCGGACAUGCUCGAGAACGUUCCCAAUGUUAAGGAGGCUGGCAAAAACGAGGACUCGCCCCUGCAGAUGUUUGGUGUACAUGUGAACAUUCAAUUCACGCUGGUCAAGCCAUCCAGCAACGGGCAUACUGCGAAACAUUCUUGAGUGCGUAUUUUGCGUACUACAGUGGAUCAAUUUCGUCAAGCUACUCUACUGCUAAUCUUGCGGUAAACUCAGACUUGUGGAUGGGCAUCAAGUAGCAGCACCGAUUUUAAGGAGAAGUUUUCUUACGGAGGCGCUGGCGUUGAAUGCGGCGAGUAACAGACUCAACUGCAGCUGUACCAUGAGCACUUCAAGGGCGCCGACGGCCUGUGAUUUUGCGUUAGCUGAUGACAACAUUGACUUUACUCACUAUCAAGUAAGUUUGCAACACUAUUAAUAUUAAGUAUGACAUUUUUAGCAUCGUCAGUACUCACCAUUUUAUUCAUUUUG